UACGUAGGGUGCAAGCGUUAUCCGGAAUUAUUGGGCGUAAAGGGUGCGUAGGCGGUUCGGUAAGUUUCGUGUGAAAUCUUCGGGCUCAACUCGAAGUCUGCACGAGAUACUGCCGGGCUUGAGUGUGGGAGAGGUGAGUGGAAUUUCCGGUGUAGCGGUGAAAUGCGUAGAUAUCGGAAGGAACACCUGUGGCGAAAGCGGCUCACUGGACCAUAACUGACGCUGAGGCACGAAAGCUAGGGGAGCAAACAGG
rnacentral:rRNA from 1 species